CAACGCUCGUGUUUGGACACAAGCAAUUAUCUCUAAUUAUUGUUUUUCUUUUCAGUUUCCCUGUCCCGAUGGAGGUCCGACCAGACGAACAUGCAAUAAUCAGCCCCAGUCGUCCUGGCUCAGCGGGCCCCAGAGCUGCAGCCCUCGGUCCCGGGACUACACGGCCUUUCAUCUCAAUUUCUGCCCGCUCUGACUUUAGUCCAGACUUUGGCCCAGUCUCACGUCUCGUCAGUCCUGCUACUCUGUCCUAGACCACCAACUCCACUGCGUCCUUGGAUUCUUCUCUGGACCCGCUAACCCAGUCCCAACUCCCCUUGCUCCAGCCUCAUUCUCCGUACCUGACGUCCUGCAACCCACCCGGGCUUCCCCUGGCCUGCACCCCAUAUCCCCCCUGUGUUUCAAUAAAUACCUUGGUUACCUCA